AUUAUUAUUAUAUGUGUGGCAAGAAACAUCAAUAUCUGAAUCUAAGGAAAAAGAACAAGACUGAGAGAAAAAUACAAGACAACCUGUUCCAAAUGUGGGCUUAAUUUUAUUUAAAGCAGAUAAUCACAUCUCCAAAGAGUGAAAACAGUAAUCUAAAUGCUCACUGACCGGAUUCACAAGAGCUCUGCAUAAGUACACAAUGCAAUACGGGACCCAGAGCCUAGCAGAAACCAAUUUUUUGCUUCUUGAGAACAAAUUCAGCCAAAAUAUCAGAAGACAGAACACAAUCAGUUCAGCAUAAUGAUAAAAUUAAUGAAUUAUGACUCUCUCAAAAUACAGAACCUGUGGGGCUUUGCUGGACAGCUCAGUUGUUUAAAGCACGGCUUGAGUAAAUGCAGGCAGGUGCCUACGACCGUGGUUCAAUUCUCAGCUUCAGUAGCUGUACCAGACCUGCCGUUAAGGCAGCCUGAAGUAGCCAAAAAAAAACACCCUUCUCAAAAUACAGAACCUGUAACCCCAGCUACUCAGGAGGCAGGGAGAGAAGAGGAGGCUGAGGCAGGAGCACAGUGAGUUUGAGGCUAACUUGGAUAACACAGUGAAAUCCUAUCUCAAUAAAGGGACAAGCAGAAAACACUAGGCAUAUACUCAGAUUUUAAAAGAAAGGAUGAGGUUAUUUCAGAACAAACCCAAUAGGGACCACUCUGGCACUAGAGACCAGACCCUCAACUCUCACAUAGGCAUGUGGCCUUUAUAGGGUUAUGAGCAUGGGGGGGGGCAGUGGAAUGAAAAAGUCACAAAGGGCUUUUGAAGGGGAGAAUUGAGUACAGAGGGGUUAUGGCUUAUCUGCCUGGGACAGGGCCUGAGAAUGUGCAAGGAGCUGUGAUUUGUCUGUCAACAAUGGGGCUGCACAAUGACUGGGAAUUAUGAUCAUGGUUGUGGUCACUGGGCCCCAGUUGCUUGUCAGGUUAAGGACUGAAUAAAGAUGGGAGUUCUGGAUUGUAGCUAUGCUCAUUGGGCCUUGCCACCUCACCGUUGGAGGAGGAAACUACUACAUUGCAAGCUAUAGUAACUUUAUAAUGUUAGACAACACAACGGGAAACAAACUUUGUCUGUUAAAGCUAAAAGCAGAAUACACUGAAGAUUGCAAUGUAUCCAGAGAGGAAGUGUAUGGAGAAACACGUAGCAGCUCGGCAGGACACCUGUGCUCCACAGGGCUGGUUCCAAAGAUUAAGGAGGGGCAAGACCCAAGUUACGAACCUGAUCAGAGUUUAGCUUCCAAGUGCUCUGGAAUAAGAAACUCAGUUUUCCAAAGAGUGAUGAGAACUUCAGAAGUAGUUUUCUAAUUCCUAUUUCUGCCAAAGAUUUAUGAAAUCUAUAUUCCUCUAUUAAACCACUAGCUAUAUGCCAAGCUUUAUAUUAAAAAUAAUAGUCUUAUUCCAUUUAUUACCAAAGACUGCUCAAUCUUGACUCCUGCUCACUUUUCUUCCAGGGGGUGGGGAGGGGAGGUUUAUAAUUUCCUGCAACCAAACUCCUUGCCAACAAAUAAGGGUUAAAAUGCAAACAUAAAAAAGCGAAGGUUUUGCCCCAGAGAUGAAAAGAGGAUCCAAGGGCUGAGGGUGUAGCUUCUGUGGGUCUGGGAAUAGUAGUGUCCAUCAAUAGCCAAUAGUGAAACUGAAAGACAUAGAUUAUUUCAGAUUCUCUCAGACCCAGCUAUGAAUGAGACAUGACACUUCCAGCACAGAGUGACAUAGUUCUUGGAGCUUUUAUCUUCCAU